rnacentral:rRNA from 1 species
UGGGGAAUAUUGGACAAUGGGGGGAACCCUGAUCCAGCCAUGCCGCGUGUGUGAAGAAGGCCUUAUGGUUGUAAAGCACUUUAAGCGAGGAGGAGGGUACUGGUAUUAAUACUACCAGCUACUGGACGUUACUCGCAGAAUAAGCACCGGCUAACUCUGUGCCAGCAGCCGCGGUAAUACAGAGGGUGCGAGCGUUAAUCGGAUUUACUGGGCGUAAAGCGUGCGUAGGCGGCUAAUUGAGUCGGAUGUGAAAUCCCCGAGCUUAACUUGGGAAUUGCAUUCGAUACUGGUUAGCUAGAGUGUGGGAGAGGAUGGUAGAAUUCCAGGUGUAGCGGUGAAAUGCGAAGAGAUCUGGAGGAAUACCGAUGGCGAAGGCAGCCAUCUGGCCUAACACUGACGCUGAGGUACGAAAGCAUGGGGAGCAAACAGG